rnacentral:rRNA from 1 species
GUGAGGAAUAUUGGGCAAUGGGCGAAAGCCUGACCCAGCAACGCCGCGUGAGGGAUGAAGGCCUUCGGGUCGUAAACCUCUUUUCUGGGAGAAGAGACAAGGACGGUAUCCCAGGAAUAAGUCUCGGCUAACUACGUGCCAGCAGCCGCGGUAAUACGUAGGAGGCUAGCGUUAUCCGGAUUCACUGGGCGUAAAGCGCACGCAGGCGGUCAUGUAAGUCAGACGUGAAAGCUCCUGGCUCAACUGGGAGAGGUCGUUUGAUACUGCAUGGCUUGAGGUUGGGAGAGGGAAGCGGAAUUCCCGGUGUAGUGGUGGAAUGCGUAGAUAUCGGGAGGAACACCAGUGGCGAAAGCGGCUUCCUGGCCCAUACCUGACGCUCAGGUGCGAAAGCGUGGGGAGCGAACGGGAUUAGAAACCCGGGUAGUCC